CAGUCGUACCGACGGGAAUUCAACUUCUCGAGUGCUAAUCGUGGGUGACGUUGAGCCUCACGGCCUUCGUUGCUCGUGUUGUUGGUGCUUUUGUGGUGUACUUUUCCGUAUUGGUAGGUCAGCAUCGAUUUCGAUCGUCAUAAAAUGAUCGGGGGAAUGUAGCUUCGGUCUCGUAUCGGAGUGUUAUAGACCUUGGUAGAUGUGACGAUUGGGAUCGAGGAUUGCAACGAAUACCCUCUGGGCUAUCCGUCUGACCUCUGAAAGUCGCUCGGGUGUCGAAAGCUUGCUUAUGGCUAUUCGAGUUGGCGGUCAAUAGGUUAGAACGUGAUUAUA
rnacentral:rRNA from 1 species